rnacentral:rRNA from 1 species
GAUGAACGCUAGCGGCAGGCUUAAUACAUGCAAGUCGAGGGGUAGCAAGAUUGUAGCAAUACAAUUGUUGACGACCGGCAAACGGGUGCGGAACACGUACACAACCUUCCUACAAGUGGGGAAUAGCCCAGAGAAAUUUGGAUUAAUACCCCGUAACAUAGCGAUGUGGCAUCACAUUGCUAUUAUAGCUUCGGCGCUUGUUGAUGGGUGUGCGGCUGAUUAGAUAGUUGGCGGGGUAACGGCCCACCAAGUCUACGAUCAGUAGCUGAUGUUGGAGAAUGAUCAGCCACACGGGCACUGAGACACGGGCCCGACUCCUACGGGAGGCAGCAGUAAGGAAUAUUGGACAAUGGACGCAAGUCUGAUCCAGCCAUGCCGCGUGAAGGAUUAAGGUCCUCUGGAUUGUAAACUUCUUUUAUAAGGGACGAAAAAAGGUCUUUCUAGAUCGUCUGACGGUACCUUAUGAAUAAGCACCGGCUAACUCCGUGCCAGCCGCCGCCGUAACAC